GGGGACGGGAAUCCUUCGCCAUCCAUGGUUGUUAGCAUCAAAGCUCCGCCAUAGAAAAUCCUUUUAACCACGUACGGACCCUCAUAGUUCGGUGUCCAUUUGCCCCUGUGAUCUGUGUUGGGAGGAAGAAAUCUUUUGAGUACCAAUUCACCGACUUGAUACCCCCGAGGGUGCACUUUCUGACCAAAUGCUUUCUUCAUUCGUCUCUGACCGAGAUACGUCAAUUCUG
rnacentral:lncRNA from 1 species